GGUUAAGCGACUAAGCGUACACGGUGGAUGCCUAGGCAAUCAGAGGCGAUGAAGGACGUGCUAAUCUGCGAAAAGCGUCGGUAAGGUGAUAUGAACCGCUAUAGCCGACGAUGUCCGAAUGGGGAAACCCAGUGCAAUUCGUUGCACUAUCGUUUGAUGAAUCCAUAGUCAAACGAGGCGAACCGAGGGAACUGAAACAUCUCAGUACCUCGAGGAAAAGAAAUCAACCGAGAUUCCCCUAGUAGCGGCGAGCGAACGGGGAGCAGCCCAGAGUCUUAAUCAGCAUCAGCAUCAGGAGAACGGUCUGGAAAGUCCGGCAGUAAAGGGUGAUAGCCCCGUAUCCGAAGGUGUUGGUGUUGUGAACUCGACGAGUAGGGCGGGACACGUGUUAUCCUGUCUGAAUAUGGGGGGACCAUCCUCCAAGGCUAAAUACUCCUGAUUGACCGAUAGUGAACCAGUACCGUGAGGGAAAGGCGAAAAGAACCCCGGCGAGGGGAGUGAAAUAGAACCUGAAACCGUGUACGUACAAGCAGUGGGAGCACCUUUUAGGUGUGACUGCGUACCUUUUGUAUAAUGGGUCAGCGACUUAUAUUCUGUAGCAAGGUUAACCGUAUAGGGGAGCCGUAGGGAAACCGAGUCUUAACUGGGCGAUUAAGUUGCAGGGUAUAGACCCGAAACCCGGUGAUCUAGCCAUGGGCAGGUUGAAGGUUGGGUAACACUAACUGGAGGACCGAACCGACUAAUGUUGAAAAAUUAGCGGAUGACUUGUGGCUGGGGGUGAAAGGCCAAUCAAACCGGGAGAUAGCUGGUUCUCCCCGAAAGCUAUUUAGGUAGCGCCUCGUGAACUCAUCUUCGGGGGUAGAGCACUGUUUCGGCUAGGGGGUCAUCCCGACUUACCAACCCGAUGCAAACUACGAAUACCGAAGAAUGUUAUCACGGGAGACACACGGCGGGUGCUAACGUUCGUCGUGAAGAGGGAAACAACCCAGACCGCCAGCUAAGGUCCCAAAGUCAUGGUUAAGUGGGAAACGAAGUGGGAAGGCUCAGACAGCCAGGAUGUUGGCUUAGAAGCAGCCAUCAUUUAAAGAAAGCGUAAUAGCUCACUGGUCGAGUCGGCCUGCGCGGAAGAUGUAACGGGGCUAAACCAUGCACCGAAGCUGCGGCAGCGACAUUUAGAUGUUGUUGGGUAGGGGAGCGUUCUGUAAGCCUGUGAAGGUGUGCUGCGAGGCAUGCUGGAGGUAUCAGAAGUGCGAAUGCUGACAUAAGUAACGAUAAUGCGGGUGAAAAACCCGCACGCCGGAAGACCAAGGGUUCCUGUCCAACGUUAAUCGGGGCAGGGUGAGUCGACCCCUAAGGCGAGGCAGAAAUGCGUAGUCGAUGGGAAACAGGUUAAUAUUCCUGUACUGGUGAUAAUUGCGAUGGGGGGACGGAGAAGGCUAGGCUGGCCGGGCGACGGUUGUCCCGGUUUAAGGAUGUAGGCAGGUGAAUUAGGCAAAUCCGGUUCACUACAUGCUGAGGUCUGAUGACGAGUCACUACGGUGGCGAAGUAGCUCAUGCCCCGCUUCCAGGAAAAGCCUCUAAGCUCUAGAUUAUCAUUAAUCGUACCCCAAACCGACACAGGUGGUCAGGUAGAGAAUACUCAGGCGCUUGAGAGAACUCGGGUGAAGGAACUAGGCAAAAUGGUGCCGUAACUUCGGGAGAAGGCACGCUGGCGCUAGGUGAAGUCCCUCGCGGAUGGAGCUGAAGCCAGUCGCAGAUACCAGCUGGCUGCAACUGUUUAUUAAAAACACAGCACUGUGCAAACACGAAAGUGGACGUAUACGGUGUGACGCCUGCCCGGUGCUGGAAGGUUAAUUGAUGGGGUUAUCCGUAAGGAGAAGCUCUUGAUCGAAGCCCCAGUAAACGGCGGCCGUAACUAUAACGGUCCUAAGGUAGCGAAAUUCCUUGUCGGGUAAGUUCCGACCUGCACGAAUGGCGUAAUGAUGGCCAGGCUGUCUCCACCCGAGACUCAGUGAAAUUGAACUCGCUGUGAAGAUGCAGUGUACCCGCGGCAAGACGGAAAGACCCCGUGAACCUUUACUAUAGCUUGACACUGAACAUUGAGCCUUGAUGUGUAGGAUAGGUGGGAGGCUUUGAAGUGUGGACGCCAGUCUGCAUGGAGCCAACCUUGAAAUACCACCCUUUAAUGUUUGAUGUUCUAACGUGGCCCCAUAAUCUGGGGUGCGGACAGUGUCUGGUGGGUAGUUUGACUGGGGCGGUCUCCUCCCAAAGAGUAACGGAGGAGCACGAAGGUUGGCUAAGCAUGGUCGGACAUCAUGCGGUUAGUGCAAAGGCAUAAGCCAGCUUGACUGCGAGAGUGACGGCUCGAGCAGGUACGAAAGUAGGUCUUAGUGAUCCGGUGGUUCUGAAUGGAAGGGCCAUCGCUCAACGGAUAAAAGGUACUCCGGGGAUAACAGGCUGAUACCGCCCAAGAGUUCAUAUCGACGGCGGUGUUUGGCACCUCGAUGUCGGCUCAUCACAUCCUGGGGCUGAAGUAGGUCCCAAGGGUAUGGCUGUUCGCCAUUUAAAGUGGUACGCGAGCUGGGUUUAGAACGUCGUGAGACAGUUCGGUCCCUAUCUGCCGUGGGCGUUGGAAGAUUGAAAGGGGCUGCUCCUAGUACGAGAGGACCGGAGUGGACGCACCACUGGUGUUCGGGUUGUCAUGCCAAUGGCACUGCCCGGUAGCUAAGUGCGGAAGAGAUAACCGCUGAAAGCAUCUAAGCGGGAAACUUGCCUUGAGAUGAGUCUUCCCUGACUCUUUAAGGGUCCUAAAGGAACGUUUAAGACUAAGACGUUGAUAGGCUGGGUGUGUAAGCGUAGCGAUACGUUGAGCUAACCAGUACUAAUGAACCGUGAGGCUUAACCUG
rnacentral:rRNA from 1 species